rnacentral:lncRNA from 1 species
CCUUUCAUUUUUGUGGAAGGGUGGGCUCCUCGUGUCCGAAAGAUAAUCCCGGAGGGUGGGUUUCGUGCAAAAGGGGGACCUGUUUGUGCGACCGGGAGGCUUUGAAGGUUUCGUGGUCGUGCUCGGGACGUCCCGGCAGAAGAUGUGCCAAGCUGGGGAUGGGGGGGCUUGUGUUUGUAAAAUCACGCAGGGCAGAUGAAUUCGUCAUCAUUGCUCGUGCUGGAACCAGAGAGCUUUCAAGCCCCAUAUAUAUAUAUAUAUUUUGCCUCGAUCAACUCCCAGGUUCUUGGUCAGCGGCCGCCUCGGGCUGCCUCGGUGUUUUCGGCUUGGCUUACCCCACAGACCUUCCCAUUGCUCAGUGGCUUGCAUGAACCGAAGGGGCCCUUCGAAAGUCCGUGGCCUGUGUUUAUAGCAGUGCGUCUACUUUUGGCUCUGUCUCUCUACCUGCCACCUCCACACACACCCCAUAGCCAUGACCCCUUGUGUUUCCACCUGUGGCUUGAAACCUUUUGCUCCGUACAUUGGGGGGGGGGAAGAGGACUGUUACCCACAAAACUUCAUGAGCGGACAAAAAACCUGUUUGUUGUCAGGCUGCCACGGGACUUUGCCGCCUGUCUUUGCUCUUGGGUUCUGUUCUGUUGGCAUGUGUGCGGAAAACGAAUCUGGUCUCUUCCUUUUCCAUGUAUUACUGUUGCAUUCCAUGGGGGUUUUUUUUGGGGGGGGUCCCUUCAAUUUCUUUUCCUUUCCUUUCUGGAAGAGGGAGUUUGCCCUGUUUGUUGGAAUCGUCGGUGCCUUUUGGGGGAGGUGGGUAGAGACCCCAUCUUAUACCAGGCACUCACUAUUUGGGAUCGCCUCCCUCUGUACUGUAUUCCUCUGUGUGGGCUGAGAUGACCACUAGGCAGACAGUGGAGGGAGCAGGAGUCCCCUCUUGAGGCCAGAUCGGCCCGGGUUUGGUAUAACGGAUGAGUUGGGGUUUUGCUUUGUGGAAGUCCAGCUAAGAGAAAAGGCAU